UCUGGUAUGAAAGGUUUGACGAGGGAACAACUGUCUCAAUUUAAUUUUACAGAAUUUUAUUUUUAAGUGAAAAGGCUUAAAUGUUUUAAAAAGACGAGAAGACCCUAUAGAGUUUUAUAAAUUUAUUAAGUUAACAUUUUUUAGUAUUAUUGAAUUUAUCUUAUUAUUUUUAUUUUGUUGGGGUGAUAAAAAAAUUUAAUUAACUUUUUUUCUUUUUAACAAUAAUGUUUGAUUAAUUGAUCCGCUUAGGCGAUUAUAAGAUUAAAUUACCUUAGGGAUAACAGCGA
rnacentral:rRNA from 1 species